rnacentral:rRNA from 1 species
UACUAUGUUACGACUUAUCUCAUCUUAAUAACGAGAGUGACGGGCGAUGUGUGCACACUUUAGAGCUAAAAUCAUAAAAAUAAUUCUUAUUAUUAAUUACUAUUAAAUCCCCCUUCAUAAAACAAUUUCAAACUUUAAUUCGUUUAUCUAAUAAAUAAUGUAAUCCAUCACCACUCAAUUAUAAACUGCACCUUGACCUGAAAUAAAACUUAUUAAAAUUUAAAGAAAAUUAUCUCUAAGAAGAUUUUCAUUAAAUAAACGGCGGUAUACAUAUUAAAUUAUAUUAAGUAAGGUUCAACGUGGAUUAUCGAUAAUGGAACAGAUUCCUCUAACCAGACUAAAGUACCGCCAAAUUCUUUAAGUUUCAAGACCAUAUCUAAUACUACUCAAGCUUAAACUUUUAAAUCCGAAAUAAUAGGGUAUCUAAUCCUAGUUU